GAUGAACGCUGGCGGCGUGCCUAAUACAUGCAAGUCGAGCGAACGGACGAGAAGCUUGCUUCUCUGAUGUUAGCGGCGGACGGGUGAGUAACACGUGGAUAACCUACCUAUAAGACUGGGAUAACUUCGGGAAACCGGAGCUAAUACCGGAUAAUAUUUUGAACCGCAUGGUUCAAAAGUGAAAGACGGUCUUGCUGUCACUUAUAGAUGGAUCCGCGCUGCAUUAGCUAGUUGGUAAGGUAACGGCUUACCAAGGCAACGAUGCAUAGCCGACCUGAGAGGGUGAUCGGCCACACUGGAACUGAGACACGGUCCAGACUCCUACGGGAGGCAGCAGUAGGGAAUCUUCCGCCAUGGGCGAAAGCCUGACGGAGCCACGCCGCGUGAGUGAUGAAGGUCUUCGGAUCGUAAAACCUCUGUUAUUAGGGAAAAACCUAUGUGUAAGUAACUGUGCACAUCUUGACGGUACCUAAUCAGAAAGCCCCGGCUAACUACGUGCCAGCAGCCGCGGUAAUACGUAGGUGGCAAGCGUUAUCCGGAAUUUUUGGGCGUAAGCGCGCGUAGGCGGUUUUUUAGUCUGAUGUGAAAGCCCACGGCUCAUCCGUGGAGGGUCAUUGGAAACUGGAAAACUUGAGUGCAGAAGAGGAAAGUGGAAUUCCAUGUGUAGCGGUGAAAUGCGCAGAGAUAUGGAGGAACACCAGUGGCGAAGGCGACUUUCUGGUCUGUAACUGACGCUGAUGUGCGAAAGCGUGGGGAUCAAACAGGAUUAGAUACCCUGGUAGUCCACGCCGUAAACGAUGAGUGCUAAGUGUUAGGGGGUUUCCGCCCCUUAGUGCUGCAGCUAACGCAUUAAGCACUCCGCCUGGGGAGUACGACCGCAAGGUUGAAACUCAAAGGAAUUGACGGGGACCCGCACAAGCGGCGGAGGCAUGUGGUUUAAUUCGAAGCAACGCGAAGAACCUUACCAAAUCUUGACCUCCUUUGACAACUCUAGAGAUAGAGCUUUCCCCUUCGGGGGACAAAGUGACAGGUGGUGCAUGGUUGUCGUCAGCUCGUGUCGUGAGAUGUUGGGUUAAGUCCCGCAACGAGCGCAACCCUUAAGCUUAGUUGCCAUCAUUAAGUUGGGCACUCUAAGUUGACUGCCGGUGACAAACCGGAGGAAGGUGGGGAUGACGUCAAAUCAUCAUGCCCCUUAUGAUUUGGGCUACACACGUGCUACAAUGGACAAUACAAAGGGCAGCGAAACCGUGAGGUCAAGCAAAUCCCAUAAAGUUGUUCUCAGUUCGGAUUGUAGUCUGCAACUCGACUACAUGAAGCUGGAAUCGCUAGUAAUCGUAGAUCAGCAUGCUACGGUGAAUACGUUCCCGGGUCU
rnacentral:rRNA from 1 species